CACAACAUGCCCCACGACCCAUUGUCGCUACGACGGUCACUUCCAUCCUUCCACAUUCCAUAAAAGCGUGUGCCCCCACCUCUCUCCUAGCUCCCUUCGCGCCCACCACCCUUCAGUCCUCGUCCGCGCAGAGACGCAUACGAGGUGCACGCUCUGCAGCGCACAAGAGCGGCAACUGCGCGAAGGAACGCGAACGAUAGCCUUGGAGAAGGCGAAGACCGCGCGCGGCUCCGAACCAACUCCACAGACGCACGCGCACACGAGGGACGACAGGACGGAACCCUCGCCUCCUACUCACGCACCCUCCUCGGAUCGCCAUCAGGACCACACAUACAGGGAGAGAGGAAAAGCAACGGCGUGAGGUGAGCCGAAGCAGCCGCACAGAUCGUUGCCGGCGGGUGUGCACGCGUGGCGCGACACCACACGGCGUGCCAUCGGUCAGGAAGAGCGGAAUCGACCGGACCAUUUUUCUGUUGCUCGCGCGGGAGAGGUGAACUUGAUUGCGUGGGGGUUUGCUGGGCGCAAAAUCUUACAGCACGACGACGUACCCUCGCGUGUGCGCAGAGGGACGGGAGUGACGGCAGGUGCACAUACUACUCUGCCGCUCGUUGCACCUUCGCCACCACGACUGCCGCGCGCUCUUCGAUCUCCAAUCCUGCCUCUGCUGCUUUCUUUUCCCUGGCAGCGGUGCCUCCUGCUUCGACAGUAGAAAGUCAUGAGUCUCAGCUCGCAAGGUAGCACACCGUGGAAAUUCCGCGGCGAUGCCGCGGCGUCUGUUGGGGCCAUCACGGCGGUGGAGUUUGACCCCGAUGUGGAGCUGCUUUGGGUGUGCGACGCCUUCGGCACGCUCAUGAGCUUCUCGCUGCAGUCGCAGGGCCAGGGUGAGGCGCCGGCGUGGGUGAACUACUCCUCGUUCUCCGUCUCCAGCCGCCCUGCCACGAAUAUUUUUUUCCUCAACAUGGGUGGCGAGCGUAUGGUGACAGUGGCGGACCGGGAGGUGAUCCGCGGGUACAAGCGCGGUGGCGUGUUGAUGAUGUGCCUGCCGCAGCCCACCGCUGUGCAGAACUACAUCGACCUCUUCCAGGCUAACAGCAACACCGGCGCGAUGUUCUACACCGGCAACGCUGGCCUGACACGGCUGAUCCUCAACCACCAAGAGACGGACCAGCUCACCGUUCCGAUGGAGGCGACGGUGGUGGCUCUGAAGCAGUGCGACCGAUGGGUUGCCACCGGGAGCGCCUCUGGCGCCGUGUACGUGCGCAGUGCGUCUGAUCUUAGCGUGGUUGGCCAGGCUACCCCGUCGCGGAACCGCGUCAUGGCGCUGGAGGUGUUCGACAACACGGUGAUGGCGGCCUACUCGGAGCGGUCGGCGACGUCCUUUGUGAAGGUGUUCGAUGUGCGGAAAAUGCCGGAGGCGGUGUCGACGAUUCAGGACAUCCCGUCUGGCAAUGUGACACAGAUGCGCCGCUACCAGGACGGCUUCGGGCUGUCGAGCGACCGCGCCUUCCUGCUGUCGCCCGCAGGCUUCCACAUUAUCCAGCUGGAUCAGGAGAAGCCGGUGUUCUCGUCGAGCCCACUGAGCGAGGGCAGCUGCACCGCCGUGGCUGUCUCCCCGUCCAACAUGUGCGCCGCCAUCGGUAACGACAAGGGCACCUUCUACGCCCUCGCCCACCCAGCCACGCGAGACGACUACGUGAUGUCCACGUUUGUUCAGCCGGUGCGGCCAAAACACCCCGUCUACCACCACAGCUGGGAGGAGCCGAACAUCGCAGACGGCUUCGACGACUCGGUCGACCUCGGCACCCUCGCCUCCAACUGGCCGGAGGAGGACUACAUGAUCCUUACCGUACCGCAGAAGCUGCGGUGCGUCAACUACGAGUCGCACAGCAUUGUGCCGAACGAGUGGGGGCUGAUGCGGGCAGACAGCUGCCUGCCAGAUCCGAAGGACAAACUCAGCUCCAUCUUGCCGAAUCCAUACCCCUUCAACACACAGCUCGGCGACGACCCGGCCUGCGCGCAGGAGGCGCUGCUCGAGCUGCGCAAAGAUAUGAAGCGCAAGCACAAGUCCUCGCGUGGUGGCGGCGGCGAGUACAGCCCGAUGGAGGACUCCCUGCAGGUCUGCUACAGCGUUCAGCACAAGUUGGACUGGCGCAGCUACAACGAGAUCGCACAGCGCGUCAUUGGCAUCGACAACAGCUUCCCUGAGUGUUGGAUCACGCCGCUCCUGCAGUCGCUCUAUCUAUGCCAGCCGCCUGAGUUUCCCAUCCGCAAGGUCAUCCUGCGACACAUCUGCAAGCGGGAGUUCUGCAUGACGUGCGAGAUCGCCUUCAUCUUCGCCAACAUGCUGACCACGUCCGCGAGUGUGAUGGGGAUGAAGGGCGAGGCGCUGCCGCCGAUUGUGCCGGUGGCGCACUUCAUUCGGACGUUGCGGCAGAUCCGUGCCUUCGCGAAUACAGACGUGUUCCAGCGGCCAAAAAACCGCGAUGAUGCGGUGGCGAAGAUGCACCUGGCGCAGCGGCUGGUGCUGGAAACACUGCACAAGGAUCUGCAAGACCAGAAGGCGUACCCCUUCAUGAACUACGAAGCGCCGCCCGAGUACGAGGGCGCCAUCGCGGCUCUCUUUGGCACUGAGUUCACGUCAAACGGCCGCGUGCACAUUGAGCCGCGCUUCUACUGGGAGGUGCCCGGCUCCGCGCUCAAGGUGGAUGAGGGGCUGCAACACCUGCUGAAGCAGUUGGAGGGGUAUAAAGACCAGGUGCAGAUUAAGCGACUUCCACCCAUCAUUGUCCUGCUACUGAACCCGGAGCACAGCAACCUGAAGCCGCCAACGAGCCUCAAGAUUUCGCGUGCGGGCAAGGAGGACUACAAUUACGUGCUGAACAGCAAUAUCGUGCACCUCGCCGACGACGUGGAGGACACGGGCAACUUCGUCAGCCAGCAGCGCAUCAAGGAUGACAGCUUUUCACUCGUGAACGACUACCGCGUGACGGCGCCAAUGAAGAUGCAAGAGCUGGAGCGCCUGGUGCCCGCGCUGCGCUCCUACUCGGCUGUGGUCACCUUCUACGCCCUUGACAACCUCACCACGCCGCCGUACGCCCGCCUGGACGACUCGCGCACCCCGAACUUGUGGCAUCUACUUGGCCCUCUGCUGACAAACGACGUGCUGUCGCGUCCGCUGCUGCGAGACCCAGCGAAGCAGGCCUUCCGAUCGCCCUUGUCCUCGUACACGGAGAUCAGGGCUGGCGACCUCAUCGCCAUCGACGCGGAGUACGUGGUGCUCAAAUGGGCGAGCCGAGACGAGGGCAACGAGAUGUUCUACGUGUCGCAGCGCAAGCCGCACAUGGGCCUAGCCCGUGUGAGCUGCAUCCUGAGCAGCAAGGACGGCGAUGAGCGCACCAUCGUGGACGACUACGUGCACAUUCCCGAGGAGAUCGAGGACUACGUGACGCAGUACAGCGGCAUCCACCCCGGUGACCUCGACCCACUUGAGUCGUCCAAGAGCCUAACGUCGCUCAAGUCGACGUACCUGAAGUUGCGCGCGCUGGUCGACGGCGGCGUUGUCUUUGUUGGCCACGGCCUCGCUCAAGACUUUCGCGUGUGCAACAUCGUCGUGCCGCGCAAGCAGAUCAUCGACACACUCGAGAUAUUCCACAAGCCCGGGUCCCGGUACCUCUCGCUGCGCUUCCUGGCAUACCACGUGCUCGGCGAGAGCGUGCAGGAGGACGAGCACGACUCCAUCGAGGACGCCCGCACGUCACUGCGUCUCUACCGCAAGUACCAGCAGCUCAAGAGCGAGGGCACCUUCGAGGGCGUGCUGGACCAUCUGAUGGCAAAAGGUGCGGAGACGAGCUGGUACGUGCCCGAUACGAAGUCGUUGUUCCGAGACACCCCGCAGACCCCGCCAGUGUCCGUGAUGGGUUCACCUGUACUCGAGAAGAUGGCAAAGGCCGUCCCGGAGAACGACGAAAGAGACGUAAACACGUUUGACAUGGCUGCUGCUGCUGCUGCUGCGGUGGCGGCGACGACCGAAGGCGACGAGGAUGACGAGGACGGCGACGACGAUGCCCCCACUGCCAGCGAAGUGCUGGAGGCCGUGCGCAAGUCCAUGGAGCGUUAGGCGGAGCGGCAAGGGCGUACGCUAACCGCGCACGUGGUCAUUUUGUGUUGUGCCACGAGGUGUGCCGCUGCAUGGCGGAGUGCCUGUGCGUGUGGCACUGAGUCGGCAGGGAGCACAGUUUUUCGGUGCUUCGUUGAACUUUUCUUUCUUAUUGGUGCUCUCUCUCUCUCUCGCAUACGAACGCUUAUUUCGGCGCUUUUCUUCGCUGUGUUUCCUUGUAUUGCGGGCGUGUGCGGGGGUGCGCGUGCAUCUCGUGGCGCGGCAUAUCUCUCUUUCUCUCUCUCCCUGUGCGCGCGUGUGCGUGUCGGGGUUUCAUGUCUCUGUAUGCGUGACUCCCUCUACGUUUCUGCCACUGUUUUUUUUUUUUCGAUAAUGCCGACACCAAAUUGCAGCACCGCGCUGAGCGGGCGUGAUCGUGAGACCAAGCUCCAUCGUGGGCCUGCCCCCUCCCUCACUCUGGCCUCUAACGGGCGCGAC
rnacentral:misc_RNA from 1 species